UACGUAGGGGGCAAGCGUUGUCCGGAUUUAUUGGGCGUAAAGAGCGUGUAGGCGGCUAGGUAGGUCCGUUGUGAAAACUCGAGGCUCAACCUCGAGCUGUCGAUGGAAACCAUCUAGCUAGAGUCCGGAAGAGGAGAGUGGAAUUCCUGGUGUAGCGGUGAAAUGCGCAGAUAUCAGGAAGAACACCCGUGGCGAAGGCGGCUCUCUGGGACGGUACUGACGCUGAGACGCGAAAGCGUGGGGAGCGAACAGG
rnacentral:rRNA from 1 species